rnacentral:rRNA from 1 species
UACGGAGGGUGCAAGCGUUAUCCGGAAUCACUGGGCUUAAAGGGUGCGUAGGCGGUCAGAUAAGUCAGUUGUGAAAUACCCCGGCUUAACCGGCGGAACUGCGAUUGAUACUGUUUGACUUGAAUCAGGUUGAGGUAGGCGGAAUGUGGCAUGUAGCGGUGAAAUGCUUAGAUAUGCCAUAGAACACCGAUUGCGAAGGCAGCUUGCUGGACCUGUAUUGACGCUGAGGCACGAAAGCGUGGGGAGCAAACAGG